rnacentral:rRNA from 1 species
UACGUAGGGGGCAAGCGUUGUCCGGAAUUAUUGGGCGUAAAGCGCGCGUAGGCGGACCUGCAAGUCGGGGGUGAAAGCCCGAGGCUCAACCUCGGAACUGCCUUCGAUACUGCGGGUCUCGAGUCCGGGAGAGGUGAGUGGAAUUCCUAGUGUAGAGGUGAAAUUCGUAGAUAUUAGGAAGAACACCAGUGGCGAAGGCGGCUCACUGGCCCGGUACUGACGCUGAGGCGCGAAAAGCGGUGGGGAGCAAACAGGG